rnacentral:rRNA from 1 species
AGCGAACGCUGGCGGCAGGCCUAACACAUGCAAGUCGAACGAACCUUUCGGGGUUAGUGGCGGACGGGUGAGUAACACGUGGGAACGUGCCUUUAGGUUCGGAAUAACUCAGGGAAACUUGUGCUAAUACCGAAUGUGCCCUUCGGGGGAAAGAUUUAUCGCCUUUAGAGCGGCCCGCGUCUGAUUAGCUAGUUGGUUGAGGUAAUGGCUCACCAAGGCGACGAUCAGUAGCUGGUCUGAGAGGAUGAUCAGCCACAUUGGGACUGAGACACGGCCCAAACUCCUACGGGAGGCAGCAAUGGGGAAUCUUGCGCAAUGGGCGAAAGCCUGACGCAGCCAUGACGCGUGAAUGAUGAAGGUCUUAGGAUUGUAAAAUUCUUUCACCGGGGACGAUAAUGACGGUACCCGGAGAAGAAGCCCCGGCUAACUUCGUG